rnacentral:lncRNA from 1 species
AACAGCAACCUCUUCAGAGAAGUUUCGGUGAGGAAAUGGCUGAGCACCAGGGAAUAUAAAACUCCCACGAGUAUACCUAACAGAUUUUACAGCAAGGGAUAGACUGCCAGCCAAUUUCAAGAUGGGUGGGAUAGCAAGAAGCAACUUAGUUGUCCCACAGGUUUUGAUUAUAAUCUUGUAUGGAUAGACAAAGAGGCUAGACUCAGAAAGGACAUAGGAGUCCACUUGCUUGUUAGAUAAUGAAGAAACAAUGGUGCAUUCAGCUGGACCUAGAAUCUCAUCCAACUGGGCUUUGGUAAGUGCCCGAAGACCCUUUCCUUCAGGAU